UACGGGGGGGGCAAGCGUUGUUCGGAAUUACUGGGCGUAAAGGGCUCGUAGGCGGCCAACUAAGUCGGACGUGAAAUCCCUCGGCUCAACCGGGGAACUGCGUCCGAUACUGGAUGGCUUGAAUCCGGGAGAGGGAUGCGGAAUUCCAGGUGUAGCGGUGAAAUGCGUAGAUAUCUGGAGGAACGCCGGUGGCGAAAGCGACGUACUGGACCUCUUCUGACGCUGAGGCGCGAAAGCUAGGGGAGCAAACGGG
rnacentral:rRNA from 1 species